GGCUAGUUAGCUAGCACUCUGCAUAGCAUAACGUUCAUACUCAGUGAUAAUGUUUGGCGGAGUGAGGCAUGCGCCAUUUUUACAGCCAACCCGGACCGCGCUGAUUGGUUUACUGUCGCGCCCUCCUGCACCUCGGAGCUCUACCAUUGGAGAAUUACAUCUCAUAUAUCAAAUAAUUGACAUUACACAUAACGUCUGCCUCGACAGUCACCAUUAGCAGCUACAUCCAUUGAACAUGUAGAUUAGAAACUGUUAUGUUUUAGUUUUCCCUUUCUAAUGACAGAUUGGCCGUUCCCGUAGUAAAAACGAUGUGUGUUAAUUCAUUAAAUAACAGUAUAAUAUGACGUUCCUGCCUGUCAGAGCUUCUAUGGCUGCUGUACAAUGCCUGCAACCAAUGUUGCCUGUGUAGUAGCCCCGAGAUUGCCGAGCAGCUCCCUUUGGACUGCCUCGCAGGAAUAUCAACCUACAGAGAGAAGAACGAGAUUGAACUUCACUUCAUUUUCUAGGGCAGUUGUCGACUGGUCGAUCUCCAAGGCAUUCAUAUUCGAUCGCAGUUACGGAUUUAGGUAUAGGCGACAUGGGCAGCCGCCCUAGGCGGCACGGGUGACCCGCACAAAAAAAUCGGAAUAGUGUCAACACAUCGGUUUUCUAUCGCUUAUUUGCACGUCACGUCAAUGAUAUCAUGCCACCAUGUGGGACUGUGGGUCAAUUAACCUUGUCGGAGUGGGCGCCCUGAUUCUAGUUUGUGAGCUAGGCAGGCGACUGCCUAGGAAGGUCUCUCUAUGAUUAUUUAUUUGUGUUGUUUCAAAUGUCUGAAUAAACGUUACAUUUAGUGCAGAAUUGUGCUUUUUUUUGGCGGGGGUGCUGAAGGGGCUGUUUUCCCAGGGAGCCAUAGAAGCUAGAACCGCCACUGCUCGAUCGCCAAACAUUUCUAUAAAAAAAAUAGAGCCUUGUAUUCUAUUUUUCGUCCGUCUGGGUUGCUGGCGUUAGGUGUACACUAUUCAGCUGCCCUGCGCGCCGGGUAGGCGAACUGUUGCCAUUUUGAACCUUCUCUUAUGACUGAAGGUACAAACGCUGCCUUCCCGGAGGGCCCAGAGAGCAAAUCAUGUGCACUAUGGGUUUACUGCUGGCCAAUCGGAUGGCUCAGAUUACCGUGUCUGCAUUAAUGUAGCAGGCACAAUAAAUCUACAGCCAAAUUGAUACUGAGAUUUCAAAACGUUUAAAGCCAUGACUAGAGAGACUGUCAACAAAUACAGCAAAGAGCUGCUGUUUUUAUGAUUGAGUACAUUCUUACUCAGCACUGAUAACACUUUGUAUUCAAUACUUUUAUAAGCAAUUUCAACUCAGCGCUGCAACAAGAACUGCAUCGGUAAUGAAUGAGUAGGAAAGUGUAUCUAUAGGCUUGCGUUGAUAUUAUUAGCGGCAUGGGUCUUUUUUAAUAUCGAGGAAUAAAUUACUUUCUCUGUUCAUAGAAGUAACAACAUGAAUUUGUGCAUGAGGCAUAAAUAAUGUGGUGCGACUCGGGUUUCGCCAACAGCUGGUAGACGGUGUCCCUUUUUGGCCAGUGACCCUUUUUGGUCAGUGUCAGUGGAGGAAAGGGAGAGCAUGGGGCUGUUGAGUCUCAUCCUCAGUCUGUCUGCUCUCUCCCUCCGUUGAGACUAGAGGUCGACCGAUUAGGAUUUUUCAACACCGAUACCUAUUAUUGGAGGACCAAAGAAAGCCGAUACCUCUUAAUGUUCGAUUUUAUAUAUAUAUAUAUAGGUAACAAUGUUUGUAACAACUGAGGUGGAACCAACAACAGGAGUGGAACUCACCCAGCCUCCCAGACCUGCAGUCGAGAGGAGACUACCAGGGCACAGACCGUAUGUGAAGUGGCCUGGCGCCAGUGACAAGAAGUUGUGGGAAACAGUGAAUAGGGACCUUACCUUGACCCUCGAGAAACUUCGAGGCACAGUGGAGAAGAAGUUGGAGAGGAUGGGGGACAUCAUCUAUGAGUACGGGACAGAAAGAUUUGGAGUGGAAGAGGCAAAAGGCGGGAGAAAGGUUCCAACCCCACCAGUUUCCAGGAGGCAACAAGAAAUCAAGCACCUCGUACAAGAAAGGCGACAGCUUAAGAAACAGUGGAAGAAGGCCUCGGAAGUGGAAAAGGAGGGCAUAGAGGCACUUCAGGCUGAUAUCAAAACCCGGUUGGCAUCCCUCCGUAGAGCAGAGAACCUACGGAAACACAGAAGGAAGAAAGAACAAACUAGAACUCGAUUCUAUAAAGAUCCCUUCAAGUUCCUUAAAAGUCUCUUCACAAAGGAAAAAAGUGGAGCUCUAAAAACAACAAAGAAAGACCUAGAGGUGCACCUGAGAACAACAAACUUUGACUCAAAGCGACAUGAACAUCUGGCCAUCCCAUCAGAUAUCCCACCCAUUGAACCCCCGGAACAUCACAUUGAGACCAGCCCUCCGACAUGGAAAGAGGUGGAAAACACAGUUCGACGGGCAAGAACAGCAUCAGCCCCGGGGCCAAAUGGAGUCCCGUACAAAGUGUAUAAGAACGCACCAGACAUCCUGAGGGUCCUCUGGAGGCUUAUGAGAACAGCUUGGCAAAAGAAGAUCAUACCCAAAGUGUGGCGUAGGGCAGGCGGGGUCCUGAUCCCUAAGGAGAAGGAUGCAGUGAACAUCAGCCAAUUCCGCCCAAUCUCCUUACUGAAUGUCGAGGGUAAAAUCUUUAGGGUCAUUGCCCAGAGGAUGGCCGAGUACCUGCAAAGGAAUGCGUACGUCGAUACAUCUGUACAGAAGGCAGGAAUAUCAGGGUUCUCUGGCUGCUUGGAACAUUCCAGCAUGAUCUUGCACCAGAUCCAAAUGGCCAAGGUGGAGAAAAGGGACCUCCAUGUAGUCUUUCUCGACCCCGCCAAUGCAUUUGGCUCUGUGCCCCAUGAACUCCUGUGGUCUGCCUUCAGAUUUUUCCACAUACCGGACACCAUCACAACCCUGGUGAAGUCGUACUUCCAGGAUCUGCAGUUCUGCUUCACCACCUCAUGGCAGUGUCUGAAUGUAGGUAUAAUGGCGGGAUGUACCAUUUCUCCGUUGGCAUUCAUAAUGGCAAUGGACAUUGUGGGUCAUGUUCAGCAAGGGAGAGGAGGCCUUGGGCUAACUAGCCGUGCUGCUUGGAGUAAGGCCACUGCACCAGAGCGGCGGAAGAUGGUAGUGCAGGAAGUAUGCCAUCAGGAGGAGGCUGCAAGGUGGGCCAAGGCAGUCUCUCUUUCCAAACAGGGACAGUGGACUCGAUGGGACAGUGUGGAGAAGAGGAAGAUCAGCUGGAAGGAUCUGUGGGCCAUGGAAGCGAGGCGGUUGAGCUUUUCCAUCAGAGCAACAUAUGACGUCCUUCCAACUCCAGUUAAUCUUCACCAAUGGUAUGGUGAAGAUCCGGACUGUGCCCUCUGUUCCAUGCCAGCCAACCUCAGGCACAUUCUCACAGGGUGUAAAACAAGCCUCACCCAAGGACGCUACACUUGGCGUCACAACCAAGUCCUUAAAAACCUUGCGUCCGCCCUGGAGGACAAGCGAGCUGCCACCAACUCCCUACCACCCCCAGCAGCAUCACACCCCUUACGGACGAACUUUGUCCGCGAAGGGGCUAAACCACCGAAGAGCGGCUCGACACCAUUCGAGCGAGACCAGCUGCGCUUGGCCCGCAACUGGAAAAUGCUAGCUGACAUUGGCCGGCAACUUGUGUUUCCUCCGGAGAUCGCAACCACCACCCUAAGACCUGACAUGGUGCUCUGGUCCCGUUCGCUCAAGAAGGUCUUCAUCAUUGAGCUCACAGUACCCUGGGAGGACUCAGUAGAUGAGGCUUAUGAGCGAAAACAUCUGCGCUAUGCCGAUCUAGCUGCCAAAGCACGGCAUCAUGGCUGGAACACAGAAGUCCAACCAGUGGAGGUGGGCUGCAGAGGUUUUGUGGCAACAUCUACAACCAGACUGCUUAGAGACCUUGGAAUUAAGGGCCAGAGCCAGCGUUCGGCAAUCAAAGCUGUAUUGGAGGCGGCAGAAGGCAGCAGUCAGUGGCUCUGGAUGAAGAGGAAAGACCCCAGCUGGGCCCCGAAGUGAGAGGGCCAGGAGGUAUGCGGUCAACAAUGCUUGACUCAGGGAGGAGGACUCCCCUGCCAUGCAUAGUCCCAUGGGAUGUUGGCUAUCAACAACAAGGCAACUCCUAUGACUAAUUGGGAAUGGGACGCAAGCGUAGGAUUGAUCACCCUGUCGCUGGCCGCCUUUGGGGAGGGUGUAUAGUGUGAAAGGCCGAAACACCCUAGGAACCAAAGGUACACUACUGACGAUGCGCUCCCCAAAUUUCACCAGGCUCACUGUUCAUUAACUCUUGGAAGUGCUUCCACAAAGGAUAGCAACAUCUCAUCCUGUGUUCUUGGAAUCUGUAAUAAUGACAGUUACAACAAUACUGAAUGAACAUUGAACACUUUUAUUUUAACUUAAUAUAAUACAUAAAUGAAAUCAAUUUAGUCUCAAAUAAAUAUUGAACCAUGUUCAAUUUGGUAAAAUAAUGCAAAUACACAGUUUUUGAGUAGAAAGUAAAAGUGCAGUAUGUGCCAUGUAAAAAGCGCACGUUUAAGUUCCUUGCUCAGAACAUGAGAACAUAUAAAACAUGAAUAUACCCAGUUAAUAAGUUUUAGGUUGUAGUUAUUAUAGGACUUCUGACUAUUUAUUUCUGUACCAUUUGUAUUUCAUAUAGAUUUGACUAUUGGAUGUUCUUAUAGGCACUUUAGUAUUGCCAGCCUAAUCUCGGGAGUUCAUAGGCUUGAAGUCAUAAACGGCGCUGUGCCUCAAGCAUUGCUAAGAGCUGCUGGCAAACGCAGUAAAGUGCUGUUUGAAUGAAUGCUUACGAGCCUGCUGCUGCCUACCACCGCUCAGUCAGACUGCUCUAUCAAAUAUCAAAUCAUAGACUUAAUUAUAAUAAACACACAGAAAUAUUAGCCUUUGGUCAUUAAUAUGGUAAAAUCCGGAAACUAUAAUUUUAGAAAACAAAAUGUUUAUUCUUUCAGUGAAAUACGGAACCAUUUCGUAUUUCAUCCAACGGGUGGCAACCCUAAGUCUAAAUAUUGCUGUUACAUUGCACAACCUUCAAUGUUAUGUCAUAAUUAUGUAAAAUUCUGGCAAAUUAAUUACGGUCUUUGUUAGGAAGAAAUGGUCUUCACACAGUUCGCAACGAGCCAGGCGGCCAAAACUGCUGCAUAUACCCUGACUCUGCUUGCACUGAACACAAGAGAAGUGACACAAUUUCCCCAGUUAAUAUCGCCUGCUAAAAUGCAUUUCUUUUAACUUAAAUAUGCAGAUUAAAAAAAUAUACUUCUGUGUAUUGAUUUUAAGAAAGGCAUUAAUGUUUAUGGUUAGGUACAUUUGUGCAACGAUUGUGCUUUUUUUUCCGCAAAUGUGCUUUUGUUAAAUCAUCCCCCGUUUGGCGAAGUUGAAGUAGGCUGUGAUUAGAUGAUAAAUUAACAGGCACCACUUUGAUUAUAUGCAACACAGGACAAGCUAGUUCACUUAGUAAUAUCAUCAAUCAUGUGUAGUUAAUGAGUGAUUAUGUGAAGAUUGAUUGUUUUUUAUAAGUUAAGUUUAAUGCUACUGUAGCUAGCAACUUACCAUGGCUCCUUGCAGCCACAAGGUCCUUUUGAUGCUGCACUCGCGUAACAGGUGGUCAGCCUCCCACGCAGUCUCCUCGUGGAUUGCAAUGUAAUUGGCCAUAAUCGGCAUCCAAAAAGGCAGAUUACCGAUUGUUAUGAAAACUUGAAAUCGGCCCUAAUUAAUCGGUCGACCUCUAGUUGAGACUGACCAUCAGAUGCUCGCUCAGUUGUGCCUCACAAGUAAUACAACAAUGGAUCUAUUGCCGGUGUGAUCAUAUAGCCUACCUUAAAUUUUGAUAGAUAAUUUUAAGAAAUGGCCUGAACAACAAUACAUUGGCAGGGCAAUUUAUGCACAGCCAAUAUGCAGUGAAAAUGUAUUGGGCCAUAUAGCUUACUGCACAAACCUCAUUGCUACAGAACUAUUUUUAAUUGGGUAAUGUUGCAAAGGUGUAUGUUUUUUUACUCAAAGUGAUCUUGACUCAGAAAAGGUUGUUGACCACUGUUCUAGAGUUUUCCUGUUAAGACGAUCAACGUUUCCCUUCACUGUGGCAAUUGGGAUCGAAUCAAUGCUAUAUUAGCCACUUUCAAUGCAACAUACCGAAACAAAACAAACUAUGCAAGAGAUUUUGUUGUAGGCAAAACACAUAGGAUUCCAUUAAAUUGACACACACUACUCAGCCCGAACUUUACACAGACCGGUGCGGCAUAAACAAUUAGAGCUGCAUAUGCAAAUAGACCAUUGCCAUAUAUGGAUCUGUGCCAUUUACUUUGAACUGGACUGUGUUUACAGCAUGAGCGGUUCUGAGUAGAUGCCUUGUUUUGAGAUCAAAGCGAGAGCUGCGUCUAGCCACAUCUGCACAUUUUGUUCUUAUCCUUUGCUAGUUAGUGAGUUAUUAGCCCAGUUAUAGAUCAUUUGUAGUCAGCAAUAGGGGAGUGAUUGCUUCUUACAAAAGCACAAAACAUUCACAGACAUCUUUGAAAAGCGAGUCGGGUAACGAGCUUCCCUGAUUCCCUGUAAUAAUGGUAUGGGAAUAAUAAUGCAUUUUAUUUUGUGAAGUGGUUUCUUGCAUCAAACAACAUCAGUCACCUCCUUGUCUGAAGGAGAAGUGGAUAAACAGGUUAAUGUCAAGCCCUGCAUGUUUUGUUUUAAGUCUCAUGGAAUGUAGGCCUACAUUGAACAUCACACAUUGCUACUGUAGGCUGAAUGAUAUAACAGCUAUUCCCAUGUUAAAAUGUUAUGGGAUGCAUUUUCUCCAUUGUUUUUGAUAGUAUACCUCUCUGUCAGGCCUACAUUAUGAUCAAAUAGCCACAGUAGCCCACAUGGCCGCUGUUAAAACUGUAACUUAAGGCAGGUACAGCCUCAGUGUUCACAGUAAACGCGUGCUGGAAGUUGCACAGAAUUUUCACAACAUUCAAGUUUGUGCUCAGCAGACCUGAAAUUUGCUCAGUGUCGAUUUUUUUUGUUGUGGUUGAUGAGAGAACAUUGCCUACAACAUCCAGUGUGUCAACUCUUGUCUUGUCCUUUAAAACCUAAAGGUUGUCAGCUUUGAAUGGGAUCAGAUUUAAACAGAAAAAUCGAUCCUUUUUAUAUCAGUGCUUUCCACAUACAUACGUGUCUAUUUCAUGACCAUUUGGAAAAUGCCAAUAGGCAAAUGAUCUUACAAAAGACCAUCGCCACCUCUCACUGCUCAUAAUAACUGACACAAUGAAUCGGCACACUUGACUUAUCAGCUAGGACCAGGGAAAUGGGGGUGUAGGACGUUGAGGCAUGGUUCAGUAUCUCUAGGGCUAGGCUGUAUGACUUGCCACUGCUCCCCACAUAGACACAGCAGGCUUUCACAGCUCUACAGACGACACAAAGUGCUGCUCUGCGUGUAGAAGCUAAGGUUUCCUGAGAACUAUGGAGGGACCUUAUAAAAUGCUAAUGGGAAAGUUAGCCGGGUCAUAAGAAUUGGAACCCGAAAGAGCCAGCUGGCUCGUAUUCAGACAGACAGCGUUGCAGAGAAG